UACGAAGGGGGCUAGCGUUGCUCGGAAUCACUGGGCGUAAAGGGUGCGUAGGCGGGUCUUUUAAGUCAGGGGUGAAAUCCUGGAGCUCAACUCCAGAACUGCCUUUGAUACUGAAGAUCUUGAGUUCGGGAGAGGUGAGUGGAACUGCGAGUGUAGAGGUGAAGUUCGUAGAUAUUCGCAAGAACACCAGUGGCGAAGGCGGCUCACUGGCCCGAUACUGACGCUGAGGCACGAAAGCGUGGGGAGCAAACAGGG
rnacentral:rRNA from 1 species